UCUCCUGGUGGGGUUGGUGCUGUCACUUUAAGAGUACUGCAGGGCGAGACUCGGAGAGAUCAGACUUCAUGUGAGAUUUUAAACUCACUGACAACAGGAGGGAAAAGAAAACGUGCGGAUAUCUGGAGACAGGAGGGGAUUGAGGCGUGUGGGUUGUUAUUUCACCAACAGGCUGAGGGAGCCUGAGCAACAGAACAGCAGGGGAGAUUUGCUGUGUUGAGUUCCAGGAGUGUGUGUUCAUGCACAGGUCAACCACAGGAGUGGAAAGGGGAGAUUUGCUGUGUUGAGUUCCAGGAGUGUGUGUUCAUGCACAGGUC